AGCCUUCUGAAUCCAUGCUGAGAUUUCGUCAGAUACCAGCCCACUAGGGCUGAUCAGACUUCCAAGAUAACUGAAGUU
rnacentral:pre_miRNA from 1 species